ensembl:lncRNA
GAAUUUUUAAUUAAAAAAAUGAUCGGCAUGGUCAAAAUAUUUGUUACAUAACAUUUUCACAAUAUUCUAAUAUUUCUUUUUUAAUACUUCUGUUUUAUUUUAUUUAAUGGGCUUGGAGUUAAAUGAAACGGAAUACUCAAAAUAUUUGUUCAAUAAUAUUUUAAUAUUUUAUUAGGUCUACUAUUAGAAUAGUACUACAUUUAUUAACAAGCAAAAUAUAAUAGCAUAUAAAUAAAAAUGCCCCUCAAGUUCAACUUCAGUGCUCCCUUUAAUGAAGAAAAAAAGUUUUCCAGAAAAAAACAAAAACAAGUCUGUGGAUUCCUAAAAGAGGAGACCUGCUCAUGCCGACAGGACUGCAGUUAGUUGCACUAUGUGCCGCUAGGGGGGACUGCUGUACCACCGUACUCCGUAUCGCCGCUGUGCUGCGCGAGACGCUGCUGCCGCUCGUGUCCCUCUCGCUCUCUAAUCACGCUCUGCGUCUCUCCCCCUCUCUUUAUCAUUCUGAACCACCCCUCCUACCCCCGUCACUUACCCUGCCCUUCUGAGAGAAGAAUCCACGGCGUGUGCGAUUUAGAGGGUGUGUGUGCGUGUAUGUGUGCGCGUGACAGUUUAUGAGCCCGGCUUCUGUUUGUGUGUGCGUAGAGGCGCUAUGAAGGCCGGCUCUAUUGUGUGCAGCGCAGUGCUCUGUUACCUGCGCGCAAGUGAUUAGAGCGCCGUAAUAAACGGAGAGAGAGAGAGAGAGAGAGAGAGAGAGGAGGGGGUGAACGAGGGAUAGGUUGAGUGGAAGAGUAAUAAAGACCGAGGGAGGAGAUGAAAUUCCAGCUGCCUGUGAAAGGCUGUUUCCUGCAGCGCUGCCACGAGAUUAAUGACGAGAGAGAGAGAGAGAGAGAGACGGAGGCAGGAAGAGUGCAUCGCAAACGACUCCGUGAAAGUAUCCGGUCCGUGGCGACGGCGGCCCGUUUAGCGGUGGUUAAAGUUCUCCCAAGUUAUCAUUUUAAUAGCGUUCUCUCACGCGCGCACGGAUCACUGUCGACGCAGAUCGGCAGAUACUGCGCGCGCAGAGGGCAUUCGCUGCCAGGCCUCGUGCUCUGCGCUCCUUGCACUUGGGACAGUGCUUUGGGCAGUAGCAAAGAUGACAGAACGCUCUCAAGAAUGACUCACAGAUGGAGAAAGCACAAGAAAACGAGGGUUUGGAAAGGGAAAGCCAGCGAACAGCGUGAGCAGUGCAGCGCUGGAGCAUGUGAGGGCAAGAAUAUAGGCAGAUGUGCACGCCAGUGCAAAGCCAAGCAACUGAGCAGAGGAUCGCCCCGGAAGUUGAGCCCAACCCGUCAGACCAGGUUCAAGAGCCGGCUACAGAGCCCACCAUGAGGGAGAAAUCCGCAGAUGGUGUGAGCGCAGAGAGGAGCUGAGGGUGAGCUGAGUAUGGUGUGGCGUUUGGUGCCAAAACGAAGAGGGGAGGGCUCCAGCCCCUGAAUCCAAUUCAGAGCGCCCUCCAGUGCCCACUCAAAAAUACCUGCCCUCCCACCUGCUCCAGCCUCUUCCACUACUGUCGUCUGGCUGCCCUCGGCUCGCCCUCAGCCCACCCUCAUUAUGGUGCGAGCCCCGCGGGACUGCCAUCCUCCAGCGUCACCCUGGUCGGAGUCUUCCUCACCUACGCCUCCGAGGCCCGGACUCCACCUUGGCCCGUAGACCUAGCGGCUCCACCUCGGCUCCUAGCUCCCUCACCUCCACCAUCACCCGUCGAUCCAUCAGCUCCACAGGGCUCCCUCAUCCCCCCGGCUCCGCCUUGGUCGGGUGUCGCCCUGCCAUUGCCUCUGGACUCCUCUCCUCUGGUUGCGCCUCGUCGCUCUGUCCCACCGGCUCCAUUGGGCUCCUUCCUCCCACCAGCUCCACCUUGGUUCUCAGUCGCUCCAGCUACGCCAUGGAUCUCUGGAUCUUCGCCUUGGUCACCAGAGCCCUCGGCUCCACCCUGGCCCCCCCCCCGAGUUCUCGGCAUCCCCCUGGCUCGUUGGCUCUCCAGAGUUCUCGGCAUCCCCCUGGCUCGUUGGCUCUCCAUCUCAGGCUCCUCUUCCACCUGCUCCACCGCCAUUGGUCGGCCACCUCCUCCAUGGCUCCUCCCACCGUCGGCUCCACCGUGGGCCACUGUUAUGGCUGUGGCCUGGGUCUUGUUGUGCUCCUCCUGCUCUGGGUCCCUCCUGUCUCCUCCCUCCUUCGUCGGCCCCCCCCCCGGUCUCUGUCUGCCGGCCUACUCUUGGAUAUCCGUCCUCCUCCAGAACCUCCCAAGUUCCCACCCACGCCUCCCUCUGUUGUUGCUACGGUGCAAGGACGCACCUUCCUUGCUCCCUGUGACCCAGUUUCUGUCUCCCGUUGAUUGUGUUAAUUUGAUUCCAGGUGUGUCUAGUUCUUCCCAAAUUAUCCUGUGUUUAAAAGCCCUAGUCCUUUCAGUCAGUGUUUGUCGGUUCUGAACGUCCUUCCAUGUGUUCCUGUGUCUCCUACUUUCCCCUUGUGAUUGGAUUAUUAAAGACUGUGAUAUUGAAGAACUCCUUGUUUCCUCGUUCCUUGCUCUCCGAGUGUAUUGUGACAAAUAUAAAGCUAUAAUUGGCAGAAAUAAAAGUCACGAUUACAAGAAAAAGAACA